rnacentral:rRNA from 1 species
UAGUCCACGCCCUAAACGAUGCUAACUCGAUAUUUGUCGUAAGAUGAGUGUCUAAGCGAAAGCGAUAGGUUAGCCACCUGGGGAGUACGUUCGCAAGAAUGAAACUCAAAGGAAUUGACGGGGGCCCGCACAAGCGGUGGAGUAUGUGGUUUAAUUCGAAGCAACGCGCAGAACCUUACCUACCCUUAACAUUUCACGACCGCCUCAGAGAUGAGGUUUUCUCUUCGGAGACGUGAGGAUAGGUGCUGCAUGGCUGUCGUCAGCUCGUGUCGUAAGAUGUCUGGUUAAGUCCAAUAACGAGCGCAACCCUUAUCCUUAGUUACCAGCAUUGAGUUGGGGACUCUAGGGAGACUGCCGGUGUUAAACCGGAGGAAGGCGGGGAUGACGUCAAGUCCUCAUGGCCCUUACGGGUAGGGCUACACACGUACUACAAUGGCAGAAACAACCGCCGCAAUAUCGCAAGAUGGAGCUAAACGGUAAACACUGUCUCAGUCCGGAUUGAAGUCUGCAACUCGACUUC